rnacentral:rRNA from 1 species
GACAGAGGGUGCAAACGUUGUUCGGAUUUACUGGGCGUAAAGCGUGUGUAGGCGGCUUGGCAAGUUGGAUGUGAAAGCCCACGGCUCAACCGUGGAAGCGCACCCAAAACUGCUUCGCUCGAGUCUCGGAGAGGAAGGUGGAAUGCUUGGUGUAGAGGUGAAAUUCGUAGAUAUCGGGUGGAACACCUGUGGCGAAGGCGGCCAUCUGGACGUCAACUGACGCUGAGACGCGAAAGCAUGGGGAGCAAACAGG